rnacentral:lncRNA from 1 species
AAACAGACCAUGCACAGCAGCCUGUUCUGGCAACAUAGAUAAUGGGAUGGUGCCACUCUUUGUGACACAAAAUCAGGCAAUUAUAGUACAAUAUGAACUGACAAGUGUCUGGCACCUUAAAAUCAGAUUCCUUUGUGUAGAUGGAGCUCAUAAGCCUUGGCUGGCAAUCCAUCUAGGAGAAAGAAAGCUCUGAUUUCAAACCCCCAGCCCCCACUUUUGGACAAGACAUGUAUAGUAACUAUAUCAGUCAUGAUCAUCUAAAAAUGCCAGUAUAUAUGCACUUAUACAAAGCUGUAUGCACUGCAAAGCUACACUUUAUUUAUCUCAAUGACAUUUUCAGGGUUCUGGAUCAUUUUCAUUACUUUGUGAAGAGUUUAUUCUCUUUGAUUUUUAUACAUUUUUAGAUCUGACUGGUCUCCAUGUGAUAAAAUAAGAACCUGAAAUACUAGCCUAAACAGAUUGAGUGUCUAAAUACUGAAAAAUUAGCCUGACAGGCCCUUAUACAGGUUCUUAUAUGCAAGCUUUUACUUACAAUUAGGGUGGAAAAUAUACUUACUAGUAAUUAUUAGUUGAGUUUGUUUACAUCAUUUAAGUAUUUGUGAUCAAAAUCUUUUAUAAACUAAAUGUCUUAGGGGUGUUUAUAUGGAAGCAAGCCAGCCCAGUUACCUGAGCUAGGUGGCUUUGCCUAGCUAAUUUCAUCAUGUAGCAGGCUGGCACCAAAACAAAUCAUCACGAGAAACUGUCAUGGUUAUGACCGUCACAACUGUUCACAGAGGCAUUCAUUUAUAAAAUUAUAGAUCAAAAAUCUGUUGAGAAAGUCUUAUUUACUACAAUUAGUACAAUAUAUUUGUAUUGAGCAACUUAGGCAAACCAGCCAACCUAGGCGAGAUCUGGGUCUCUGUCGGGCUUCACAAAUUAAACAAGAUCUUGCUUAGGCAAACAAGCCUGGUUUUCAUAUACACACAAUACGAAUAUUAGUAUAAAUUAUCUAGCAACAUUAGAUCUCGGCCAAGCGAGCUAGCUCAGGCACCCGAGAGCUGGCUUGCCUCCAUAUAAACACCCCAUUAGGUCAAGUACUGUAACUUCAGAGCAACUAAAUGGCAUUUAAACUGUUAUGUGCUUUGAUCAAAUUAAAAUCUACUUUAGCUUUGAUCAGAGAAACUUUUUGAUGUGUUUCUAUUAAGUUUUAAGUGAGCACAAGUUGUCCAUGAGCAGACAGUCAAAGACAGUAAAUCACUGCCACAGCCAAGUAGAUUAUCACUCUGACAAGUGACAAUAACAUGUAUAUAUAAACAGCCAUCCCCAAAGUCCCAAACAUGUUCACUCCAAAUUGUUCAUUAUUUUUUCAUCGACAACUCACUAGUCUCGAGUAUCAUAUCUUUAGGCCUUUAUAAUUAUAUUAUGGGUUUCAGUUUGUAAACAAAAUAGAUAAACAGUUCGUAUAUAUUAACGAUAGUGAAAUAGUGUAAUAAAGAAAAUUUUAUAGUCAUUAAAACCUCGAUUGAUGGGCUUCAACAAGCGAUUUCUCUGAAGGAUCAACAUUGCAGCUAUGUUUGGAGCAAUCUCCAAUCCUUCUAGGAUUCUUUUCUUGACAACCUUUGGUAGAAGCCUGAGGUUGCAGGUAUAUCAUGGCCAUUCAUGGGCAGACGCAGAAAUGGAAUGCGCUCUCCAUCGAGGAAAACAAUAAAAUAGAUACACUUUGAUACACUUUCGAAGCAUCCCUGUUAGCGUAGUAUCCUUUCCUACUCGUCAUGUUGCCUCAAUAACUCGUUAUUUGACGGACUGUCGCUCAAAAAAUCUCAAAAUAUUUUGGAAACUUCUUCGCUCCUUGGGCAUUAAAUUCAAUUGCGAUAAAAACAACGCGCGUGUUAUUGCCAGAAAUGAGACUGGACCGAGCACAAACACAGGAUGACAACUUCCUGUGUGUCC